GAUGAACGCUAGCGGCAGGCCUAAUACAUGCAAGUCAAGGGGAUAGCAAUAUCACCGGCGGACGGGUGCGUAACGCGUACACAACGUGCCCAAGGGCGGAGGAAAGCGGCGGGAAACUGCCGGUAAUACUCCAUGGUGUUGUUGAGUGGCAUCACUUAACAACUAAAGUACAAGCGCCCUUGGAUCGGUGUGCGUUCGAUUAGCUAGUUGGCGGGGUAACGGCCCACCAAGGCUUCGAUCGAUAGGGGGUGUGAGAGCAUGACCCCCCACACGGGUACUGAGACACGGACCCGACUCCUACGGGAGGCAGCAGUAAGGAAUACUGGACAAUGGGCGGAAGCCUGAUCCAGCCAUGCCGCGUGAAGGACGAAGGCGCUCAGCGUUGUAAACUUCUUUUGGAUGGGAACAAUAACUCCGACUUGUCGGAACUUGAGGGUACCAUCAGAAUAAGCACCGGCUAACUCCGUG
rnacentral:rRNA from 1 species